CACCUACGGGAGGCAGCAGUGAGGAAUCUCGCGCAAUGGGGGAAACCCUGACGCAGCAACGCCGCGUGAGUGAGGAAGGUCUUCGGAUCGUAAAGCUCUGUCAGGUGGGAAGAAGUGCAUGGGAGUGAAUAGCUGUCAUGCUUGACGGUACCGCCAGAGGAAGCACCGGCUAACUCCGUG
rnacentral:rRNA from 1 species